rnacentral:rRNA from 1 species
GAUGAACGCUGGCGGCGUGCUUAACACAUGCAAGUCGAACGGUGAAGCAGAGCUUGCUCUGUGGAUCAGUGGCGAACGGGUGAGUAACACGUGAGCAACCUGCCCCUGACUCUGGGAUAAGCGCUGGAAACGGCGUCUAAUACUGGAUAUGAGCUGCGACCGCAUGGUCUGCAGUUGGAAAGAUUUUUCGGUCUGGGAUAGGCUCACGGCCUAUCAGCUUGUUGGUGAGGUAAUGGCUCACCAAGGCGUCGACGGGUAGCCGGCCUGAGAGGGUGACCGGCCACACUGGGACUGAGACACGGCCCAGACUCCUACGGGAGGCAGCAGUGGGGAAUAUUGCACAAUGGGCGAAAGCCUGAUGCAGCAACGCCGCGUGAGGGAUGACGGCCUUCGGGUUGUAAACCUCUUUUAGCAGGGAAGAAGCGAAAGUGACGGUACCUGCAGAAAAAGCGCCGGCUAACUACGUG